rnacentral:rRNA from 1 species
UACGGAGGGGGCAAGCGUUGUUCGGAUUUACUGGGCGUAAAGCGUAUGUAGGCGGUUUGGUAAGUUACUUGUAAAAUUUCUGAGCUUAACUCAGAGCGGCCAAGUAAUACUGCCGAACUAGAGUGCAGAAGGGGCAAUUGGAAUUCUUGGUGUAGCGGUGAAAUGCGUAGAUAUCAAGAGGAACACCAGAGGCGAAGGCGAAUUGCUGGGCUGACACUGACGCUGAGAUACGAAAGCUAGGGGAGCAAACAGG